GGCGAGAUGGCCGAGUGGUCUAAGGCGCUGUGUUUAGGCAUAUAUCUCUCUCCGCGGGGAUAAAGCCAAAUCCGCAGUCUUCAGGGGCGUGGGUUCGAAUCCCACUCUCGUCA